rnacentral:tRNA from 1 species
CCUUCCAAGGUGUAGUGGUCAGCACGCUGGGUGCGUAUUCCAGAGGUCCGUGGUUCAAGUCCUCGCGGAGGCG